GACCCAUGAAUGAAAACCUUGACCUCAAAUCGGGUGAGACUACCCGCUGAACUUAAGCAUAUCAAUAAGCGGAGGAAAAGAAACUAACCAAGGAUUCCCCUAGUAACUGCGAGUGAAGCGGGAAAAGCUCAAAUUUAAAAUCUGGUGGCCUUGUCCUCCGAGUGAAUNGUGUC
rnacentral:rRNA from 1 species